UAACACACUAAUAAAAUAAAUUAUUGGCACCACUGUUAUGUAACGGUAAUGGCAGUUACCUCAAUAUUCAACUAACAAAAAACACAUGCAUGUGGUGUUUUUUCUUUUUGUUUUUUUGUUAUUCUCUGUGUCUGUUCCGGCCUUUCAACUACUGUUUCUAUGACAUUUUCUCUCAAAAUUUUACCAAAAUUUCCACUUCUUUCAAUAAAUCUCUACCUUAUUCUUAUUUUUAAGGAAAGAUCAUCACAAAUAUCUCUAUUCUCCACAACUACUUCUUG
rnacentral:misc_RNA from 1 species